UCGUUGAAUCAGGGUUUCGGAGAGAAGGGUAUGUCACGUGAUAGUUUUUCAUACAUGGAUGCAUAUUUUAGGGUUACGCUUUGCUGGCUGCCCGCGUGCAUUCAUCUCCUACUUAUUGCUCACAUUGCCCCUCCAUUUCACAAUCUCCUUUCAAUCCCAUUCCUCGGAGUCUAACUUAGGUUAGAGAGGUGGCUAGAAGUUCUGUGUUUCUGAUGUUGUUUUGCUUAGUUUUCGACCACCAUCACGUCGUGGCGAGUUGUGUUCGGUUUGUUGGGUGUUGUGAGUGAAGGAUUUAGGGUUUAGCUGUUAUGCCUAUGAUGGUUACCUCUAUGAGCGUUAGUUGUGGGCGGUGUUGGGACCUUGUUUGACAAGGAGAACCUCCUCAGUAGUCCACCUGCAUUUCUGUGACGCUACAAUGUUAACUGAGGUUUUCUGGUGGACGCUACAACGUUUCAAGGUUUGUCUGCUUUUGUUUGAACAUGGCUCUUAUCUGGUUGUAACAAAGCCGUUGAUGAAGAAAAUACCCAAAUUCCUGACUUCUGUGAUGAUCAUUGUAUCACCAUCUUUCGACUGAGGCUUGAUGUGUGGUGAGGAGGGGGGAGAAAGGGACGAAGGCUGGAUGAAGAUAGAAUACAUAGACCUGUUCUGAAUUUCGUGCUGAACAAACAUGCACUACCAACUGACAGCUUUCUGGAGAGGGUUUUGUUAUGGCUUACGGGUUUGAAUAACUGAAAUGACGGGAGUUGUGUCCUUGGCGGGGUGCAAUUUUAGCAUCUUGGAGCGGCCAUCGCAUCCAUGUGAUGCACUUGUGGCCGCAGAGUCCUUUGCUAACGUCGUAGAGUAAUUUGCACAUGCGACGAGUCCUCUACGCUUCUUGUGUGGAGGAGUCGUCUGUGGAAUCGAGGUUGCAUAUUCCAUUGCCCUAGGGAGCAGCGUCGCUGCAGUUCUUCUUUGGGACAGACCAUGCAAUCUAUAGAGACUCAUUUGGGUGGUCCCGCGUUAAGUUAGGGCUUAAGGGUUUGAGUAACUGGAAUGACGGGAGUUGUAUCCUCGGUGGGGUGCAAUUCUAGCAUCGCGGAGCGGCCAUCGCAUCCAUGUGAUGUACUUGUGGCUGCAGAGUCCUUUGCUAACGUCGCAGAUUGAUUCGUAACGCGACGUAUUCUCUGCGCUUCUUGUGUGGAGGAUUCAUCUGUGAAAUAGAGGUCGCAUAUUCCAUUGCCCUAGGGAGCAGCGUCGCUGCAGUUACCCUUUGGGACUGACCAUGCAAUCUAUAGAGACUCAUCAGAUGGUUUGGCAUACUUAUUGAAGCGGUCGGUGAUUGCUACCAUUUAGAAUACUAUCUUUCGGGUCGUCGUCACCUUCGAGUGGCGACCACACUACAUAGAAUGACGGCGUCGACGUCAAGAAAGGUAUCCACGAGCAUGCCAGAUUGGCGCUUUGUCCAGACGAUGCAGCUUCGCCCUGCGUAAGUUUUGCUAUGAAGAAAUUAUUGUCAAAUUCGAUAAGUUUUGUUCUCAAGCAUGGAUUCGCACUGGGCAUUAUCAAUGAUUUCGCAACUGAUAAGUGGGGGCAAGUGCUCCCUACUCAGGCGUACAUCCUAAACACCUUACUGUUUAGGAUGUACACCUUAUUGAUGUUGUGUUUACUUAAAGUUUAUUUGGGAUUUUAUUAAACUUAGUAGGAUUGUUACUAAAUUUCUACUUACCUUCUACAGCUAGGUGCCUAAUGCAUUUUCAAGCAAGAACACAUAUAAUACAACAACAUUGUGAAUUGAAUUUCAAACCAUCUUUUCAGAUCAA